CUGUGUGUCUGUCCUCUGUGCGGCACACUAGCUGUGUGUCUGUCCUCUGUGCGGCACACUAGCUGUGUGUCUGUCCUCUGUGCGGCACGCUAGCUGUCUGUGUGUCCUUUGUGCCCUGCUUCUCCUCUACUCUUCCUCCCCUGUGGAACCUCAAAUACACCCCACUACCGCCGUUCUCACUAGUGUGGAAUACUCCUUUCAAGUCCUUUCCUCCUGGCGUCUCCUGCCCCCUCACUAGAUGCCAGGGACUGUACCUUAGACCCGCCAGGAAAUGGCACUGUCGACCUCAGCUCAAUCCCCAAGACCCACGGGGGGGGGGGGUGGUGGUGGGAAGCACUCCUCCAAAUUGUCCUGACCCACACAUGCACAUACCCCCACCCCCGCUACAAACCAACAGAACUAGCAACACAUCUCCUGCGUCUAGGCUGUACCCACAGAUUCCUGAAAUGGGUGGGGCUUCCAGCCUCUCAGCUCCACUUUAAUCAAGUUGUACUCUACUGUCCUUUGGUUUGGGGACAGAGACUCACUGUGUGGCUAGGGCUGGUCUGAAGCUCACUGUAGACCAGGCUGACCCAGAGCUCACAGAGCUCUGCCUGCCUCUGCCUCCACCUCCCAAGUGCCGGGAUCAGCAGUGCGCACCGCCGGACCUAGAGCAGCGGCACUGUGUUGUAAGUUGUAAAAGAUGGCCGCACUGCACAUCUGAUUGGCUGUUGGGGAUGGGGUCCUUUGUGUUGCCCAGGCUAGACCCUUAACUCUUGGGCUCAAGUAAUCCUCCCACCACAGCUCCUCGACGGUCCAAUCCUUAUGUGCACACCGUCACACCCAGCGACGUUUGAUUUGAAAUAACGGUCAGGGCUAGAGAGACAGCUCCGAGGUUAAGAGCAUAGGACAGAGGACCUGGGUCCUCUGAGGACCUGGCAGAGGACCUGAAUGCAGUUCCCAGCAUCCACACCGGGUGGCUCACAGCCGCCUGUGACUCCAUCUCCAGGGGAUCGGAUGCCUCUGGCCUCCCAGCACUCACAGGCACAUAGCUACACAAAUACCCAUAAUUAAAAGUGAAGUAA